rnacentral:rRNA from 1 species
GACGAACGCUGGCGGCGUGCUUAACACAUGCAAGUCGAACGCUGAAGACCUGGCUUUUGUUGGGUUGGAUGAGUGGCGAACGGGUGAGUAACACGUGAGUAACCUGCCCUCUUCUUUGGGAUAACGCCCGGAAACGGGUGCUAAUACUGGAUAUUCACUGGCCUUCGCAUGGGGGUUGGUGGAAAGGUUUGUUCUGGUGGGGGAUGGGCUCGCGGCCUAUCAGCUUGUUGGUGGGGUGGUGGCCUACCAAGGCUUUGACGGGUAGCCGGCCUGAGAGGGUGACCGGUCACAUUGGGACUGAGAUACGGCCCAGACUCCUACGGGAGGCAGCAGUGGGGAAUAUUGCACAAUGGGCGAAAGCCUGAUGCAGCGACGCCGCGUGAGGGAUGGAGGCCUUCGGGUUGUAAACCUCUUUCGCUCAUGGUCAAGCCGCAACUGUGGGUUGUGGUGAGGGUAGUGGGUAAAGAAGCGCCGGCUAACUACGUG